CUUUAGCCACUUGAAGCCAGAGGUUAGGGUUAGGGUUAUGAUCUUUAGCCACUUGAAGCCAGAGGUUAGGGUUAGGGUUACAGUUUUUAUUACCACAGGUUAGGGUUAGGGUUAUGAUCUUUAGCCACUUGAAGCCAGAGGUUAGGGUUAGGGUUACAAUUUUCAUAGCCACUUGUAACCGGGCAUUAGGGUUACAGUUUUUAUUACCACAGGUUAGGGUUAGGGUUAUGAUCUUUAGCCACUUGAAGCCAGAGGUUAGGGUUAGGGUUACAGUUUUUAUUACCACAGGUUAGGGUUAGGGUUAUGAUCUUUAGCCACUUGAAGCCAGAGGUUAGGGUUAGGGUUACAGUUUUUAUUACCACAGGUUAGGGUUAGGGUUAUGA